CACACAGGCAACAGUGACGUGGGUUAGGAGUUCCAACUGGACACUUGCCUCGAGUGUCCUCGGGCCCACUGUGAAGAUGGUUUGCGGGGAGAGAUCUCUGUAUGAGGAUGUUUCAAUGAUAAUGAACCCCAGCUAAAAACUCCACAAAGGAAAUAU